GACGAACGCUGGCGGCGUGCUUAACACAUGCAAGUCGAACGGAAAGGCCCUGCUUUUGUGGGGUGCUCGAGUGGCGAACGGGUGAGUAACACGUGAGUAACCUGCCCUUGACUUUGGUAUAACUUCAGGAAACUGGGGCUAAUACCGGAUAGGAGCUCCUGCUGCAUGGUGGGGGUUGGAAAGUUUCGGCGGUUGGGGAUGGACUCGCGGCUUAUCAGCUUGUUGGUUGGGUAGUGGCUUACCAAGGCUUUGACGGGUAGCCGGCCUGAGAGGGUGACCGGCCACAUUGGGACUGAGAUACGGCCCAGACUCCUGCGGGAGGCAGCAGUGGGGAAUAUUGCACAAUGGGCGGAAGCCUGAUGCAGCAACGCCGCGUGCGGGAUGACGGCCUUCGGGUUGUAAACCGCUUUCGCCUGUGACGAAGCGUGAGUGACGGUAAUGGGUAAAGAAGCACCGGCUAACUACGUG
rnacentral:rRNA from 1 species